GGAUUGUGGCUCAGUGGUAGAGCGCUUGCCUAGCAAGUGUGAGGUACUGGGUUCAAUCCCCAGCACCA
rnacentral:tRNA from 1 species